AAUACCGCGCAUUCUCGACGAAUGGGUAUAACAGAUUACCUUACCUUAUAAAGAACCCCGUGAAGGAUCUAUGAUUUUCUGUUUUACUUGGUAUUGAUGUCAUUUAUCUGUAUUAUAAUUAUACAUAUGUGUGCUGCCCAUAAUUAGGUAACGAGUUUGUUAUAUUAUAAAAUUAUGACAUUUCUACACAUACUGACCCUUUCCAUAGGCUGGUGGCCCGCUAACCCAUCGACAUGAUGAUCUAAUUUCACAAACCGUAACCGAUCAAAUGAAUAUCGUACCGCUUUCUUAAUCCAUGGGGACGAAGCAAUGUGGGCCAGCUGGACUCGUGUGCAGGCUAAAAAGUCUGCGAGAUAGUAGAAUGUACAAAACGUUACCUUCAUUUAAUGCAAAUUUUAACGGCAUAAGGAAUACCAUGAAUGUUGCGUUUCAGUGAUUUUGAAGAAAAGCUUUUCAUGAAGAUCUAACUUACACACAAUCGUCUUUACAUAUAAAUACUUUAGGCAUAAUCGACGAUUCGGUGUCAGCCUACACAUCCAGCAUGUUUGACAAUAAUAUAAACUUAAUGUUAAUCAACAUGUGGUUACCAAAUGUAUUCAAUUAUAAAAACUCAUCAGUUUGCCAUUUUGAAAGCCGGGAUAUGUAGGUUCAACGACUUGUAUUUGAAUAGCGCCUGUGCUCGGUGUGGGUGUUAUUGUUCUGAGUAAUUAUUGCAGGGUUGAGGAACCUCGCUAUUCUGACACGCCUCGAUCUGUCAUUAACACCUACGGGAUGGCUCAUUUAUUCAUGUGAAGAGAACUUUCACCAUGGAAUGCUGUAAAAAAGUUUACAACAUAAAUAGUUAGUACGAUCAACGGAGAAAAUUUUCUGCCUCUUUCUGAUUCUGUCAUCUCAGGUGCGUUACUUAUCCCACUUACUAAUAUUAUAAAUGCGAAAGUUUGUGAGAAUGUAUGUGUGUGUAUGUUUGUUACUCUUUCAAAUAAACCAAAUUUCUUAACAAAACGUCCAUUAGAUUUUGAAAAUUCCACGGGAGCGAAGCCCAGGGGCGUAGUUAGUAUAAUAAUAUGUUCUUAUAAGUAAGUACAAAUUACAUACAUACACCGAAUCAUAUGCAAUACGUACUACAUAGAUAUUUAUUCCAUUUUCAGAAACAUUCAUCCAUACCUACUUUUAAUAGUAAAUUAUAUUUAAUUCAUUUAAUAUUUUUAUACUUAGGUCAAAUUCACUUUUUACUUUUUAUUUGGUACCUUAGUAGCGUGAUUGUUAUAUUAUCAGGAAACCAAAUGACUAUUGGAUAAAUUCAGACAAAUCCCAAGUCUUACCCAUUUUAUAAUUAUGACAAUCCGUAUUGGUAAUUAAGUAAGUACGUAACUUUUUCACUGUUCAAUUUAUACUGCAUAUAAUGAUUUGUCCUGUUUAUGAACUUGAAUCAAAAUAUUUUACUCACAGUAAACUAUGGCAGUCGAGUGAAUAACUCAUAAGUCGAGUGAAUAAAGGUUGACUCAUGAUAUGAACAGAUUGUGUACCUAUUGAUUCGGCAUAAAAUUACGCAAUGUUCAUGCAUUUGCGUCGGCAUCUGUCUGAUUAUGGCGAUAGCCCGCGCACGGGGCACCAUUCUAAAUCUAUGAGCGAUAGCGUGUAGCCACCAUAAAGUACUUUGAUUUAGUAGCCUGCCAUCUAGCGGCGAGUAGCCACAUCACUAAACAAGUCCUGGCGGACCCUGGUCUCCGAUGCUCAACGGCUGCGGAAGACACCGAAGAAACGCUCAUAUAUCUAAAUAAAAGACAAGUGGGAGAGAGUUCGCAGACAAGACCGCAUUGAGGUCACACUUUUCAUAAAUCAAUUAACAGGGACAUAAACGUCUAAAUUUCUUAGCGUGACUCCUUUUUUAUUUGUGGAAUUCUCUGAUAUCUAUACAAGAUUGAGAUGUAUCGGGCAAUAAAAUGCAUCUUACGAAUUUUAUUUAGAAAGCGGAAGACAUUAUUGUGAGACUGAUCCUACUCCUGUGUAGUAGUAUACCAAUAUCCAGUUAGCUUUGCCACAGCUUUGCUAACAUAAUUCGACUUCCUAGAUGUCUUAAUCUUUACGUUUCUAGUCAUAGUUCGUGAGCAUCGCAUCAUAUAAGGAAGUAAAAUCACUACCUAAUCUAUCUAUGCAUUUACAUAAAAGUAUAGUACCCGUUUAUUAUUCGUAGGUAUGUUAGGUAUAUAAUAACGCAUAGGCGUGUUAAAAUCAUAAUUGUUUGUAAUAAAAUCUUUUAAAACAAUAAAAUGCUAAUAUUUAAUGGUUCCAUUAUUAUAAUAUGCGUAUUGAAGAAUUUUAAUUAAUAUUUGAAAAACCAAGGUCAACAGAAGCUGCUAUUAAUAAAAUGUGAUAUGGGGUGAGAAUUUACACCUACGUUACUAAAUCACUUUUUUAAAUGAAAAUUUUUGAUUUUGAAAAUUGCAGAUUAUUAUCAUUCGGAGGAGGACUCGGAAAUAAAACAUUUUCAAAUUGGCUCCCAGUGAGCAAGAGCUGAGUAGGAAAUAUUUUAUCUAGGGGCUUUAUUACCUGCUUCGCCGGGAGAUUUCUAGAAAAGAGGAUAAAAAUAACUUAUUACGGAUCGCGGCUUGCCGCGCUGCGCCUAUUCUGUUUUUCCUCUUUCAUUAUUUUCUCAAUAUUGCAAUAAAUUAAUAAAAAUGUGGUAAAUCACUAGAUAGCAUAAAAACAAAGUCGUUUUCCGCUGUCUGUCAGUCCCUAUUUAUGCUUAGAUCUUUAAUAUGGUUUUACCCGAACGAAGCCGCAUUUGGCAAAUAUACCUAAACACAGUUUAGAUUUUAUGCUCAGUAACUAUAAAAAUAAACUUCUUACAAUAGUAUGCUAACGUUGUAAGUAAGUUUUGGAAGAAGAUGUCAUAAACUUAAGAAAAAAAUAAUAUCACUAAUCAAGAGUCUAGUUACUUAGGUUCAUUUAAAAAAUCUUAUUUGUUACAUGCUAACAUUGAAAUAUUAUAAACCUUUUUUACCUUACAAAUGCAGCUGCCAGUUAUUUGGAAAAUUAGGUAUGGGAAUAGACUACAGUACGAUCGACCGAAAUAUUCUAUUAUAUCGUUUCAUUACAUUAAAUAAGCUCUCACUCUAAUCCUCAUGUGUUCCCGGUUACAUUCGGAGCAGUGUCGCCUCGAAGCCCAGGUUUCGAGUCAAAAAAUCAACCAUCAAAUUUUGAAGAUUUUACUAGGCUUUUAUAACCCUUUAGGCAUACUGUCCUAUGCCUGGUCUUAUAUGACCACACGCCACAUUGGCUAACAUUGCGAAAAAGAUUUAAAUUAUUUUAUGACUUGUCUAAUUGUAUUUAUACACUCUUAAGGAUAAGUAGUCUAAUUGCUCCGGCCAAGUCAAAGUUUAAAGUUAUGAAGGCGUACGAUGGACAUCGUACUCGUCUGCCUAUAUAUGCCAUUGCCCAUACGAGUAGUGCUCAUGGCUGAUGAUGGCUGACGCAUAAUAUUAUACAAACCAGUUCUUUUGACUUUGAAAUUACAUUUCAAUAAGCGUGUCAAGGUCGCGAUUGUUAUAUAACUGCUAACUCAAUUCACAUAUGGGAGUGGAUACAAUACGUAUAGUACUGUUUUUCACAAACUUCCUAAAUGAGUGGAUAUAGUAUGAUAAGACCAAUUCGUAAAUAUAGCCGUUAAUUCUCCUAAAAAUAAGUAAGAUUCAUUUCUACCAUGAUGGAGCUUGAUACUAGCACAUAUAUAUCUUGAUUAUUCCUAUACCAAGCUUUUCACAUUGACACAUUGCUUGCUAUGCAUGAAUUAAACCUCAACCAUUUGUUAAAUGAGAAUAAGUAGGUAGGUACUAGUACUUCUUCUUAGAUUCGACUAGAUAAUUUAUGAGGACUAAAAAAUUAUAUAUAGUAUUUCCCAUUUAAAAAAGGGUUUAGAAAGAAUACAACGAAUACAAAUAAUCUAAGCUUUGGUACUACUUCUCGAUCUAGUUCUGUACUACAAAAAUAAUUCAGUGACGGAGCUGAAAAUUACGAAAUAUUAUAAAUUAAAUGUCGAUCUAUUUACGUAUUCCUUGAUAGUGUAUGAUAGUGAAUAUCACUUGAUCUAAACUAUAGUCAUGACGAGUGUUUCUUGCGUGGUCUACAUAGUUAGUAAAUGAAUAAUUAAACAUGUACGCAAUCAAGUCGUAUUUCGCAUUACAUUUCAGGUGAUUAAUUUUCAACAUUUUAUUUUAAAUUACUUAUACAUAUAAUGGUUCUAGGCUUGUAUAAUGGCCUGAAGAGUUUCCAACUAACCUAGUUACACCACUGUUGGUGUUUGCAGUUUG